UUGAAAUAUUCCCCAUGAAGAUGGACAAAUCGGAGCCUUGGGCAGUGGGCAGUGGUUCUAGCAGAAGGCAGAGAGCAAGAGGCGCUGGGAGAAGGGAGAAGCAUGGCGAUCGAGUGUGAAGGAGUACGGUGCGGUCGCUGGAAUGGUUUCAGUGCAGGCGAUCAUCGCCAACAUGUUGCUCCUCUCCCGCUACCUUCACCCAAGGCAUGAGCUUCUACGCCUUAGUCUUGUACCGCCAGAUGAUCGCAACCCUCGUCAUCGCUCCUAUUGUUCCUACCUCAUCAGAAGGAGGAGGCCUUGCGUUCGGUGGAAGAAUGUGAAGCAGAUCUUUCUACUAGCGUUGACGGCGUGAGUGUUAAUUGCCAAGUAGACCUUGCAUGCAUUCUGCUCAUUGAUGUAGGCUUUAUCUAAAUUCAAGAUGUAUCUAAGUUUUAAUUA